rnacentral:rRNA from 1 species
AAGUAAAAGUCGGUAACAAGGUCUCCGUUGGUGAACCAGCGGAGGGAUCAUUACCGAGUUUACAACUCCCAAACCCAAUGUGAACGUUACCAAACUGUUGCCUCGGCGGGAUCUCUGCUCCGGGUGCGUCGCAGCCCCGGACCAAGGCGCCCGCCGGAGGACCAACCAAAACUCUUUUGUAUACCCCCUCACGGGUUUUUAUAAUCUGAGCCUUCUCGGCGCCUCUCGUAGGCGUUUCGAAAAUGAAUCAAAACUUUCAACAACGGAUCUCUUGGUUCUGGCAUCGAUGAAGAACGCAGCGAAAUGCGAUAAGUAAUGUGAAUUGCAGAAUUCAGUGAAUCAUCGAAUCUUUGAACGCACAUUGCGCCCGCCAGUAUUCUGGCGGGCAUGCCUGUCCGAGCGUCAUUUCAACCCUCGAACCCCUCCGGGGGGUCGGCGUUGGGGAUCGGCCUUCCUUCACGGGGGCCGUCUCCGAAAUACAGUGGCGGUCUCGCCGCAGCCUCUCCUGCGCAGUAGUUUGCACACUCGCAUCGGGAGCGCGGCGCGUCCACAGCCGUUAAACACCCAACUUCUGAAAUGUUGACCUCGGAUCAGGUAGGAAUACCCGCUGAACUUAAGCAUAUCAAUAAGCGGAGGA